rnacentral:rRNA from 1 species
AUGAACGCUGGCGGCGUGCCUAAUACAUGCAAGUCGAACGAGUUCUCGUUGAUGAUCGGUGCUUGCACCGAGAUUCAACAUGGAACGAGUGGCGGACGGGUGAGUAACACGUGGGUAACCUGCCCUUAAGUGGGGGAUAACAUUUGGAAACAGAUGCUAAUACCGCAUAGAUCCAAGAACCGCAUGGUUCUUGGCUGAAAGAUGGCGUAAGCUAUCGCUUUUGGAUGGACCCGCGGCGUAUUAGCUAGUUGGUGAGGUAAUAGCCCACCAAGGCGAUGAUACGUAGCCGACCUGAGAGGGUAAUCGGCCACAUUGGGACUGAGACACGGCCCAGACUCCUACGGAGCAGCAGUAGGGAAUCUU